UUCACCCGAACCCACUUCUUCCCUCUCUCUAUCUCCCCGAUCUCCUCCUCAAAUCUCACCCGAAAUCUCCCCCUCUCCGGCGAUUUCUCCUCUCCGCCUCUCGGUGUCGCCGGUGCAAGCAACCACCGGAGCUUUGAAGGGUAAACAAGUGGCUUGUUCUUCCUCACAUUUCGGUUUCCUCUUUCCCGAUUGCUCUCUCUCACGGGCGACUCGACGCCGACGGUUUCCCCCGACAAUUUCAGCCUCACCGCGUCGCCUGAGGAUUGUUGCCCGAAUCUUGAAGGUGCUGACGCUGUCCAAGCCUUCCCCGGUGGAGUGAUCGCCUUCUCGGCCAUUUUUGCGCUCGAUCGGUGGGAUCCGAUCUAGGGCACAGCGAGCUCCACACUUGCUGGAUCAGAUUGGGACAACACCAUCCGGAGGUAGUCGAUCAAGAGGAGGUGUUAGUUGGUACAGUGCUUGUGCCGAUCACUGCCUUGUUUCCAAUGCUGGAAGCUGUGGGAGUCUCGGCUGGGGAAUUUGAGAUCGAUUGAGGAAUUGGUGUAGGGCUUCUUGGUAGCUGCCGGCAGAGAUCUUGUUGGGCUGUGAGAUUUUGAUUUUGCUACCAAACCUUAAGAGGCUUCGUUGGCUUUCAGCCACCACGUCACCGAUAGCUAGAUGCUAGCUCCAUCUGAUUUAUGUCAUCAGUAGCUACUGAAGAAGAAGAGGACUUGGAUUCGGGACGAGCGUCUCGACGCGGGAUUACUUGACACG